AGAGUUUGAUCAUGGCUCAGAACGAACGCUGGCGGCGCGCCAAAUACAUGCAAGUCGAGCGAGAAGACGUAGCAAUACGUUUGUAAAGCGGCGAACGGGUGAGGAAUACAUGGGUAACCUACCCUCGAGUGGGGAAUAACUAGCCGAAAGGUUAGCUAAUACCGCGUACGCUUCUUGGACUUCGGUUCAGGGAGGAAAGCGAUACCGUGGGUAUCGCGCUCUUGGAUGGGCUCAUGUCCUAUCAGCCUGUUGGUGAGGUAACGGCUCACCAAGGCUUCGACGGGUAGCUGGUCUGAGAGGACGAUCAGCCACACUGGCACUGCGACACGGGCCAGACUCCUACGGGAGGCAGCAGUAAGGAAUAUUGCGCAAUGGGCGAAAGCCUGACGCAGCGACGCCGCGUGGGGGAUGAAGGUCUUCGGAUUGUAAACCCCUUUCGGGAGGGAAGAUGGAAUGGGGUAACCCAUUCGGACGGUACCUCCAGAAGCAGCCACGGCUAACUUCGUGCCAGCAGCCGCGGUAAUACGAAGGUGGCAAGCGUUGUUCGGAUUUACUGGGCGUACAGGGAGCGUAGGCGGUUCGGUAAGCCCUCUGUGAAAUCUCCAGGCUUAACCUGGAACAGUCGGAGGGGACUGCCGGGCUAGAGGACGGGAGAGGAGCGCGGAAUUCCCGGUGUAGCGGUGAAAUGCGUAGAGAUCGGGAGGAAGGCCGGUGGCGAAGGCGGCGCUCUGGAACGUUUCUGACGCUGAGGCUCGAAAGCGUGGGGAGCAAACAGGAUUAGAUACCCUAGUAGUCC
rnacentral:rRNA from 1 species